rnacentral:rRNA from 1 species
ACGGGAGGCAGCAGUGGGGAAUAUUGGGCAAUGGGCGAAAGCCUGACCCAGCAACGCCGCGUGAAGGAUGAAGGUCUUCGGAUUGUAAACUUCUUUGAUCAGGGACGAAUUUUGACGGUACCUGAAGAAUAAGUCACGGCUAACUACGUGCCAGCAGCCGCGGUAAUACGUAGGUGACAAGCGUUAUCCGGAUUUACUGGGUGUAAAGGGCGUGUAGGCGGUUUUGCAAGUCAGAUGUGAAAUUCCCGGGCUUAACUUGGGCGCUGCAUCUGAAACUGCAGAACUUGAGUACUGGAGGGGAUAGCGGAAUUCCUAGUGUAGCGGUAAAAUGCGCAGAUAUUAGGAGGAACACCGGUGGCGAAGGCGGCUAUCUGGACAGUAACUGACGCUGAGGCGCGAAAGCGUGGGGAGCAAACAGGAUUAGAUACCCUGGUA